rnacentral:rRNA from 1 species
GAUGAACGCUGGCGGCGUGCCUAAUACAUGCAAGUCGAACGAAACUUCUUUAUCACCGAGUGCUUGCACUCACCGAUAAAGAGUUGAGUGGCGAACGGGUGAGUAACACGUGGGCAACCUGCCCAAAAGAGGGGGAUAACACUUGGAAACAGGUGCUAAUACCGCAUAACCAUAGUUACCGCAUGGUAACUAUGUAAAAGGUGGCUAUACUACCGCUUUUGGAUGGGCCCGCGGCGCAUUAGCUAGUUGGUAGGGUAAAGGCUUACCAAGGCAAUGAUGCGUAGCCGAAUUGAGAGGUUGAUCGGCCACAUUGGGAAUGAGACACGGCCCAAACGCCUACGGGAGGCAGCAGUAGGGAAUCUUCCACAAUGGGCGAAAGCCUGAUGGAGCAACGCCGCGUGGGUGAAGAAGGUCUUCGGAUCGUAAAACCCUGUUGUUAGAGAAGAAAGUGCGUGAGAGUAACUGUUCACGUUUCGACGGUAUCUAACCAGAAAGCCACGGCUAACUACGU